AACGAACGCUGGCGGCAGGCCUAACACAUGCAAGUCGAACGCCGUAGCAAUACGGAGUGGCAGACGGGUGAGUAACACGUGGGAACGUACCCUUCGGUUCGGGAUAACUCAGGGAAACUUGAGCUAAUACCGGAUACGUCCGAGAGGAGAAAGAUUUAUUGCCGAGGGAUCGGCCCGCGUCUGAUUAGCUUGUUGGUGAGGUAACGGCUCACCAAGGCGACGAUCAGUAGCUGGUCNGAGAGGAUGAUCAGCCAC
rnacentral:rRNA from 1 species